ACAAUAGCAAGAACAAGGCGACUAGUGUCGACAUUAUCUACGGCACAAUCUACAUCAACGGCAUCGGCGGUACAAGGGUUACGGCUUCGAGGUUCAUCGACCAUCCGGGAUACGACUCGAGUACCUAUGCCAACGACAUCGCACUGGUAGAGCUGCCGCAACCUCUGAAUUAUGCGACCGAUGCCAACAUCCAACCGAUCUGCUUGGGACUGGAAGAGGACAUACCCUUCGGAGGCAAGGCGGUGGCGUCGGGAUGGGGAGACCUGUCGUUUGAGGGGUCAUCACCUGACGUCCUGCAGGAAGUAGAGUUAGAUAUCAUCACAAUAGACGAGUGUCAGCAGAG